rnacentral:rRNA from 1 species
UAAAGAAUUUGGCGGUAUUUUAGUCUAUUUAGAGGAAUCUGUUCCUUAAUCGAUAAUCCACGUUGUACCUUACCAAAUAUUUUGUAUGUAUAUCGCCGUUUAUUUGAGAAUCUUUUUAGAGUUAAAUAAAUUUUCUAAAUUUAUUUUUAAAAUUUAUUUCAGGUCAAGGUGCAGUUUAUGAUUUGGUGGUAAUGGAUUACAUUUAAAUUUGUUAUGUGGAUUAUUAUCUGUAAGUGUAUGGUAUGAAAUUGGAUUUAAUAGUAAUUUUUUAUAGAUUGUGGAAAUGAUUUUAGCUCUAAAAUAUGU